CAGCCGCCGCGGUAAUACCGGCGGCCCGAGUGGUGGCCGCUAUUAUUGGGCCUAAAGCGUCCGUAGCCGGGCCCGUAAGUCCCUGGCGAAAUCCCACGGCUCAACCGUGGGGCUUGCUGGGGAUACUGCGGGCCUUGGGACCGGGAGAGGAGGGGGGUACCCCUGGGGUAGGGGUGAAAUCCUAUAAUCCCAGGGGGACCGCCAGUGGCGAAGGCGCCCCGCUGGAACGGGUCCGACGGUGAGGGACGAAGGCCAGGGGAGCAAACCGGAUUAGAUACCCGGGUAGUCCUGGCUGUAAAGGAUGCGGGCUAGGUGUCGGGUGAGCUUCGGGCUCGCCCGGUGCCGUAGGGAAGCCGUUAAGCCCGCCGCCUGGGGAGUACGGCCGCAAGGCUGAAACUUAAAGGAAUUGGCGGG
rnacentral:rRNA from 1 species